GCGCACCAGUCGAGAAUUUUUCACAAUGGGGGAAACCCUGAUGGAGCGACGCCGCGUGGAGGAUGAAGGCGUUUUCGUCGUAAACUCCUGUCAAACGGGAACAAGAAAGUGAUAGUACCGUUAGAGGAAGAGGCGGCUAACUCUGUGCCAGCAGCCGCGGUAAUACAGAGGCCUCAAGCGUUGUUCGGAUUCAUUGGGCGUAAAGGGUGCGUAGGUGGCUUGGUAAGUUGAAGGUGAAAUCUCGGGGCUUAACUCCGAAACUGCCUUCAAUACUGCCGAGCUCGAGGAUUGUAGAGGAGAAUGGAAUUCACGGUGUAGCAGUGAAAUGCGUAGAUAUCGUGAGGAAGACCAGUGGCGAAGGCGAUUCUCUGGGCAAUUCCUGACACUGAGGCACGAAGGCUAGGGGAGCAAACGGGAUUAGAUACCCCUGUAGU
rnacentral:rRNA from 1 species